CAAAAUAUAGCUUAAUUAAAGCAUCUCGUUUACACCGAGAAAAUAUCCGUGAAAAUCGUAUUAUUUUGA
rnacentral:tRNA from 1 species